rnacentral:rRNA from 1 species
UGGGGAAUAUUGGACAAUGGGCGCAAGCCUGAUCCAGCCAUGCCGCGUGAGUGAUGAAGGCCCUAGGGUUGUAAAGCUCUUUCACCGGUGAAGAUAAUGACGGUAACCGGAGAAGAACCCCCGGCUAACUUCGUGCCAGCAGCCGCGGUAAUACGAAGGGGGCUAGCGUUGUUCGGAUUUACUGGGCGUAAAGCGCACGUAGGCGGACUAUUAAGUCAGGGGUGAAAUCCCGGGGCUCAACCCCGGAACUGCGUUUGAUACUGGUAGUGUUGAGUUCGAGAGAGGUGAGUGGAAUUCCGAGUGUAGAGGUGAAAUUCGUAGAUAUUCGGAGGAAAACCAGUGGCGAAGGCGGCUCACUGGCUCGAUACUGACGCUGAGGUGCGAAAGCGUGGGGAGCAAACAGG